CACUAAGAAGCUACCUAUAGCAUUAGCCUUUUAAGCUAAAGAGGGACCAGGUCCCUUAGUGAA
rnacentral:tRNA from 1 species